GUACUGGGUUAAAAUAGUUCUGGACAUGUAGCCUAUAGACAGGGUACUGGGCUAUAAUACUAAUGGACCUGAAGCCUACUCAUAAGGCAUCUCAAGGUAAAAGUGCUGGUCUAGGAUCAGGUCCCCCCUGUCCAUGUAAUCUAAUAGGAUCAGUAUUCAGUCAUAGAGCUGGUCUAGGAUCAGGUCCCACCUGUCCAUGUAAUCUAAUAGGACCAGUAUUCAGUCAUAGAGCUGGUCUAGGAUCAGGUCCCCCCUGUCCAUGUAAUCUAAUAGGACCAGUAUUCAGUCAUAGAGCUGGUCUAGGAUCAGGUCCCCCUGUCCAUGUAAUCUAAUAGGACCAGUAUUCAGUCAUAGAGCUGGUCUAGGAUCAGGUCCCCCUGUCCAUGUAAUCUAAUAGGACCAGUAUUCAGUCAUAGAGCUGGUCUAGGAUCAGGUCCCCCCUGUCCAUGUAAUCUAAUAGGACCAGUAUUCAGUCAUAGAGCUGGUCUAGGAUCAGGUCCCCCCUGUCCAUGUAAUCUAAUAGGACCAGUAUUCAGUCAUAGAGCUGGUCUAGGAUCAGGUCCCCCUGUCCAUGUAAUCUAAUAGGACCAGUAUUCAGUCAUAGAGCUGAUCUAGGAUCAGGUCCCCCUGUCCAUGUAAUCUAAUAGGACCAGUAUUCAGUCAUAGAGCUGGUCUAGGAUCAGGUCCCCCUGUCCAUGUAAUCUAAUAGGACCAGUAUUCAGUCAUAGAGCUGGUCUAGGAUCAGGUCCCCCUGUCCAUGUAAUCUAAUAGGACCAGUAUUCAGUCAUAGAGCUGGUCUAGGAUCAGGUCCCCCCCCUGUCCAUGUAAUCUAAUAGGACCAGUAUUCAGUCAUAGAGCUGGUCUAGGAUCAGGUCCCCCCUGUCCAUGUAAUCUAAUAGGACCAGUAUUCAGUCAUAGAGCUGGUCUAGGAUCAGGUCCCCCCUGUCCAUGUAAUCUAAUAGGACCAGUAUUCUCUGAGAUGUUUAAACAGCCCCAGAAAAUGUCUGACAAACUUUGAUUUAGUGGUGAACUAUCCC